GAUGAACGCUGGCGGCGUGCCUAAUACAUGCAAGUCGAGCGAACAGACGAGGAGCUUGCUCCUCUGACGUUAGCGGCGGACGGGUGAGUAACACGUGGAUAACCUACCUAUAAGACUGGGAUAACUUCGGGAAACCGGAGCUAAUACCGGAUAAUAUAUUGAACCGCAUGGUUCAAUAGUGAAAGACGGUUUUGCUGUCACUUAUAGAUGGAUCCGCGCCGCAUUAGCUAGUUGGUAAGGUAACGGCUUACCAAGGCAACGAUGCGUAGCCGACCUGAGAGGGUGAUCGGCCACACUGGAACUGAGACACGGUCCAGACUCCUACGGGAGGCAGCAGUAGGGAAUCUUCCGCAAUGGGCGAAAGCUUGACGGAGCAACGCCGCGUGAGUGAUGAAGGUCUUCGGAUCGUAAAACUCUGUUAUUAGGGAAGAACAAAUGUGUAAGUAACGAUGCACGUCUUGACGGUACCUAAUCAGAAAGCCACGGCGAACUACGU
rnacentral:rRNA from 1 species